AUAGGAAGUAAAGGGGUUUAUAAGGAGGACUGUUGUUCAGAGAGAGUUACUCGUCACCAAGACAGAAUGGAUCACACCUGGCCCUGUGUUCUACUCUUGUUGAAUACCCUCAUCUACUGUGGUCACUCUCAAGGGAGUCCUGCUGCUGUUCUGACCCUCCAGCCCAACUGGCCCCAGAUAUUCAUGGGAGAGAUUGUCACUAUGAUAUGUAACAUACAGGUGGGAGACGUCACUGACUGGACGUACAGGUGGAGCAAGACU